rnacentral:tRNA from 1 species
GAGGGUGUAGCUCAGUGGUCAAGCACAUGCUUAGCAUGCACAAGGUCCUGGGUUCAAUCCCUAGUACCUCCA